UACGGAAGGCAGCAGUGGGGAAUAUUGCACAAUGGGCGAAAGCCUGAUGCAGCUAUGCCGCGUGUAUGAAGAAGGCCUUAGGGUUGUAAAGUACUUUCAUCGGGGAGGAAAAAACAAAACUAAUAAUUUUAUUUCUUGACGUUACCCGAAAAAGAAGCACCGGCUAACUCCGUGCCAGCAGCCGCGGUAAUACGGAGGGUGCUAGCGUUAAUCAGAAUUACUGGGCGUAAAGAGCACGUAGGUGGUUUUUUUAAAGUCAGAUGUGAAAUCCCUGGGCCUAACCUAGGAACUGCAUUUUGAAACUGAAAUACUAGAGUAUCGUAGAGGGAGGUAGAAUUCUAGGUGUAGCGGUGAAAUGCGUAGAUAUCUGGAGGAAUACCUGUGGCGAAAGCGGCCUCCUAAACGAAUACUGACACUGAGGUGCGAAAGCGUGGGGAGCAAACAGGGAUUAGAUACC
rnacentral:rRNA from 1 species